rnacentral:lncRNA from 1 species
CCCACAUCCCACAACCGUGGCCUCUCCUCUUAUCAAGUGAAGAACAGUUCAACGUAUUGACUUUGUUUUAUUUUGAAAAUUAACCGGCUAUUUUACUCUGUAGCCGCACACAACUUCCACUGCUGCUCUUGCUGUGCUGCACUAAAUUGAUGCAUCGUGCUGCAGUGUCCAGCAAAAAUAGAAGCCUUGCGCAUCUGAUCUGGCCGCUGAAGCCGAUCCACAGCGGAACUGGAUGGCGGACGGAUUGCGUGGAAUCACACACAUUGAUUAAAACGCUUGUGUAUUUGAUCUGCCUGCCAUUCCAAAGCAGAGCGCAGCCGUUCCAGAUCCUGUGGGUUUUAGCCGCAAGACAACAAGCAAAGUUUGCAAAAAUAUGGACUUCUUCUGUCUUACUUUUGGCUGUGGCAUGCCACCAUCUUUGCUAGCAGUGUUCCCAAUUUGAAUGAAGUGCCACCUACAGGCAGAGAUGUGUCACUAUUGUGUCCAUGCAAGCCAACAGCAGCCUGUACUUCACAGCAGUGAUGGGCAAUAACGUGAGAAGGAUCUGUUGGGGUUGUGCAGGACCUGCAGCUCCCUACGGCCACAGCGAGACUCUCCACUUGUCAGUAAGUGAUCCACACCUGUCCGACACAAGUUCUCGCUCUGUACCUCUGAAUCCUAAACCACCUUUUCCUCCCUGCUCAACAUCUGUCCCAGGGGUCCGGCCUCUCAUCCAAUCACACAGCGCAUAAAUCCAUAACUUCUGCUCUGCCCUCGGCCCCCAGGAAAACACAAUAAACUGCGUUCAUCUUUUAUGCAUGAUUUUCUCUGUCUCUGUAGCUAGCUUCGCUCUGGGUGCAUAUCAAUCAUCCCGGGGACGCUGCGGGGCAGAGAGACAGAGACGGAGAGAAAGAGAGUGGCGGCGGCCGGGAAAUAUACAUGGUUGCACAACAAGGCGAAAUGAAGAGUCCUGUUUCUUUAUCCACUGACUUGAAUUUCUAUUUCAAUUUGGUCUGCCCCUUCCCCUACCCCCACCCUUCCCCUCUCUGGCCUUUCCUCCACCUCCACUCACUCUCCCUUUCUGCUGCAGAAAAUAAAAACACACGUUAGAGAUAUGAAAGUGACCGGCUCACCUUUCUCUCUGCUUCUAUAGCUGCAGGUUAACACACACAUGUUUGAUGUUUUUUUAGAGACCUUCUCCCUCGGGCUCAUGGAAAAUGGGGGGUUGAGGGCACUGUUCUGCCCUCCCACACAGGUACGCACACACAAACAGGUUGCAGAGAAGUGUGCAGCAGAUCUCCAUAGGCCUCAUUGGCAUGCUAACAUAUUCAGCAACAGCAAAAACCACAGCUGGCUCAGUGUGGGAGAGGCCGGUGUUCGGGCUCGACAUGGAGCUGGACGGCAGGAAAAAGAGACGACUCCCUGUAGCUGCAGACUGUUACCAGGUUGGAGUUCAAUGAUAAUCAUGAUUUUAUUUAUAGAGCAUGUUCUAGCGAUUAAGUGUUCUCCAGAGGGAGGAAGAUAAAGCACAGUGACAGGACAGGACCAGCCUUAAUGGACCAGCGGGGAUCGUUUUAAGCAGAAAGCCAAAUUCCAGAAAGUCUGGAUGCAUGAUUUAAAAUAAUGCAAAAACAACACUUUAGAUAUUUAAACUUAGAAACCGCAUUGUUAUUUAAAAAAAAGUAUGAGCUCAUUUUGAAACGUCUAUGCUAGCAACACAUGUUAAAAAAGUUGCUUAUCAAUGGGUCAGGACUGCUAGUAGGCCGCUUUGACACGUGGACUCUUCUACUACUGAGCCAUACAGUUGUAAUGCAUGCAGGAUUGCUAAAUUAUGAAAGAGGUAUUGUCUGGAUUUCUUCAUAUGGUGCUCUGAAACUUGUACAUCCACAGGAGGAUGAUGUCCAUGAUUUCCAAAAGACUGCCAAAUUUUAGUUUUCUUUUCAGGGCUUCUUUCACUUUGUUUGAUAGGACAGUGGAAGAGCUACUGGGAAUGUGGGGAGCAAAAAGUGGAGGAAGACAUGCAGCAAAAGGGGCUGGCUGGAAAUCGAACCAGCAACCAUUGCGACAAAGACUUUACAUGGGGUGCUAAGACAAAAUCUACAAAUUCUUCACAGUUUUAGGACAAUAUUCUGAAAAAGUUGAACUAUUUGCUCACACAGUCUCUCACAAAGUGUUGAACUUUUAUCAAAGGAUGGAAUGAAUUUUUAAAAAUAUUUAUGUUUAAUUAUUUUGGUCAUAUAAGAAAGAAAACUGUGUCGUAAUUACCCUCCAGUCCUUUAAACAUCUCGCUAUUUUUCCCAGUAUGAUCACACACUUGAAGUGUUUCUGUUUUUGGACUACUGGUUGGGUCAAACAAGUAAUUCUGAUAUCAGCUCAGGGUUUGCAGGUCUUCUAAUAAAUCUUAAAAAUAAUCCACAAAUCAAUCAGUAACUUCAAAAGUGGUAAAUAGCCUGCAGCUUGGUAUUGAGUUGCCCAUUAUUAGUUAUUAUUAUGAGAGUGGGAAGGGUCAGAGCUUAGCAAUCCAGGUCUUUCUGCACAAACUUGAUAUAGAUAUAAAAUAAGGGUUUAACAACAAAAUCUUAGAUAUCUGGGAGUGAAGAGCCAAUGAAAUCCCAAGUAUUGCAGCAGAGAUCACACUGAAGCUUUGGUGUGUCCUGCGAGAUCUGGCAGUAGUUUGUGGUCAAUCAAAGCCCAAAUCAACAGGCUCAUACAGACAAACAUGGAAAAUCAUGGGAACCAGAGCGGUUAGAUGACGAGGCCGCUCAAUGCUUCAAUGUUAGAUACGUUUAAAAUCAUUAUAGUGCUGUACAAACCUGAUAGAUCUCUGAGGUUGUUGCAUUACAAACAGAUUAUGGCUUUCUAUAGUGCAUGUAAGAACUGCACUCUGACACGUCUAACAGCUCCACACGCAGAGCUAUUAUUCCCCUCAUAGCUAAUUCUUGACAAGUGUUUUCCACAGCCAGACUCUUACAGGAGAAGUUGGUCUUUAAAUAACCACCCUAAGCAUGAAGGUGUUCAUUAUUCUGAUCCACACUCCCACAGGCCAAUCCAUCACAAUCAAUCAGUCAAUCAAACGCUCUUUUCGAGAUGCUUUUAAUCGAACCAUUUGUCACCCUUCAUCCACAGUUUCAUGGCGCCAGGCGCAGCAGGAAUGCACGUACGAGACAAAAUGUUUUGUGGCCGUAAUGGAACAGUCGGAGGAUAAGGUGUUUAAAAGCCUGGAUGUAACUGCGGCGAGUGUGUUCCUAGGUAUGUCGGGGGCUGAGCGGCGGCCACGGGGAGGCUGAGAUUACAGAGUAAAGCCCUCCUCUUCAUCCCUCAAGUAAUAAAAGCGAAAUGAGACUGACAUUUCACUCUGGAAGACACACACGCCAAGGCGGCCCGUCACACAUGCACACACACUCUGAGAGCUGAGAGACUACAGGACAAACACUGAGAGACAGCGAGCAGGAAAUAGCACACACAAACACAAAUAUUCAUGAAGAGAGACAGAAGAACAGAGGGUGAGGAAGGAACAAGACAGACUGUACAGACGGAAGGAAAGUCAAGUUGCAAAUGAAACAGAAGUCAUAUUUUUGAACUCUGGAAAGACUGAAAAACAAAACUCAUCUGGUGCCCUCUCAUCAAAGUAACCCAGCGACAUGACUCACGCUAAAACAGGAUCAAUGCCAUAAUGGAAUUUUAGAUACUAUGAGAAAGCAGAUUGACCUGUUUCCAAAAAGACUGUACAUGGUAAAUUUUUAAUUGUUCUAAUCGCAUCAAUUUGAAGUUAUGUUAAACAGCCCCGUGGGAAAAUGUUAGACUGUGUUUUCUCUAAAAUAAAACUGCAAAUAUUCCUUUUUUUCUAAAGAUAAACUUUGACUUUUAAACAAGAAUGAAGAAAGAAAGCUUUCGCACUUCUUAAACCUUUGCCAGUCCAGCCUUUUACCCACUCAGCAGGAAGUUUUGAACUGCCACUUCGGCAUCCCUCUAAAUACCUCUAAAUACUACAGGAUUUGUGUGAUUUACCUGGAAGAUAAACUUUUUAAGGGGGUUUGUAUAAGACCUGGCAGUCUGAUCAGGUGGUAACUAUUUUAAGGUCACUUUCUUGUUAAGUCAGUGUCAGUUUAUGAAGUAUUGCAGUUAGCUUGGGAGCUAAAGCAUGGGCUACUAAAUGGCAUCUCUGUGGAAAAUAAAAGAGAGCCGAGAAUAGACCCCUGAGGUACACCACAAAUGCAUUUUUUGAGUGUUUAGAGCUGUCUAUAUGAAAAUUAUUUCUCACAACAAAAAAUUACCCAGCAAACAAAUUUUUCAAGAGUUUCCCUGCUUUACAACCUAUCAUUUGAUUGGUAAACCAUGCUCACGUUGUGGUAACCCAGCUGUAAACAUAAUAUUUGUCAGUGAAUCUAUAUAACUGUAUGAUUAUCACAGAUUGAGGGGAAGGGACUGAGGGAUAAGAGGCUCUAUUGUAAGAGAAAAGUUAGAUGCAGCAAAAAGUAAUGACCUUUGAACAAAAGGGAAGUUUAUUCAAAUUGGUUAACCGGAACUUUAAGCUAACUUAUUUCCAGAGAACUUAGACAGAACAAGCAGGGGGGUUGCCAGGGGUCACUAGCCUAAAGAAAACAAAGUAUUAAACUGGGCUGCACCACUUUACCUCCCUAAAUGUUGUCAUAUUUUCAGGGCCUAUAGAAAUUGUCACAGUCUUGAGUUAGACAAAAAGGGAAAGGACUCAAAAUGCAUAACAGAAAAAGGAUUUAUUUUACAAGAACAAAAUAAAAGGAACAGAAAGGGAAAGAUCCAAAAGGCAAAAUCCACAAAAAAUCACUGGGGUAAAAUCACAGGGAGCAAUUGGUGACACAGGCAAAUGCACACACCGACAAACAUACAGUGAACCAACAAGGACAGAGAGGAAGACAGGGGACUUUAGACACACUGGGAAACGAGCAACAGGUGAGGCAAACGAGACACAGGUGAAACUCGUUAGUGAUUAACAAAGGAGGAAAAACUAGAGAAGUAAAACCAGACUAGAAACACAGGGAAUAAACUACUACAAAAUAAAAUAGGAAACACUGAAAAAUGAUGCAAAGAAUGAAACACAGAGAGCAGGAGGGAAACAGGGUCGAACAUCGGGUGACCAUAUUCUGACUUCCCAAAAAUAGUGUUACUCUUCACCCCACUGUGAUGUUCCUCUGCUGAAGUUAGUCACAGCUUUGUCAACAGCUGAAGACAGCUGACUUGCUUGGAGUUUUUAUUGGUUUUGAUCACCUUACCUUAUAAACUCUGUGGAAAAAGAAAAAUUAAAGAAAACUUACGCAUAAAACAAGCUGAAAAUUCAAAGGAAAAUGAGCUCUUUGUGGUGUUCUUACCUCUCCUCACAGCUUUGUUAUUUUUGGAGAGAAGGAUGACUUCUGCAGAUGAUCUAGGGCCAGUGAAGAAGCUCUGGAAGUAAUAGGUCUUUAAGGACGUGUUAGGGACAGUUAGGUACAUCUCCCAUCAAAAUCCCACAAAUAUAGGCUUCAGUGUGGAGGUCUGCUGUCUGCUGAACAUUUUGAGCACCUAGAUUCCUCUUGGUGGUUCAGGAGUUAAAACAAAACUCUCUGAUGCUCAGUCAGGCUAAGUUCCCAUCAUCGUCCUACAAACGUGUGCUCCAUUGAUGUUUACUGAACAGCCCCUUUCUGUUAUAAAAAAAACAACAAAAACAUUAACAUUUCAUGAGAUUCCUCUCACUUCCAUUCAUCUUUUCAAAUUCAAUAUUUUAUAUUUCACCCAAAAUAUGGAGAGGGAAAACCCGGCCAACCAGAGCCCAACAGACACACAGAGACAGAAUGGAAAAACAAGGAAGCAGAUAGAAAGAGUUAUUAGGCGCAUAUUAAUGUUUGCUCUCCUCCUCCAUGGCUGCCUCUCCUGAGAUCUGCUCGUCGCUACUUUAAGCAUGAAUACUUAAUCACACACCAAACACUGUCUAAUUCCUCUCCCCAGAAUGCACAGAACAAGACGAAGCCACGGAGACGGAGCCAGAGAAAGCGAAAAGGGAAAAAAAAAAAGGAUUGAAAUGUCACGGAAGCAGUGCUGGGAUACUAAUAAAGCUAUGCAAAUAGCAAUUAGCUGAACCAAUAACCUCUGAGUCAAUACCAAGACACCCACAUGGGAUUAUACCAGCGCCAGGCUCAUGGGUGCGAAGGUCAUGCUGUGAUUGGAGGUCACAGUCCGAGCUGAUAAGUGAUGCGUUUCAGUGAAAGGGUUGUCAAUGUGCCCCAAAAAAUCAAGGUGCUAAUGUUCGAAAAAUACAGUGAGAGCACACUGAUUUUGUCUGUCAGAACCCGUAACAAGAAAACGUGCGAUUGAAGUUGAAAGAUUCUACGGAGAAAGCACAUAUUGAUUUGAUAUAUUGAUUUGUUUCUGAUGAGUUAGGGUUGACCAAAUCAUUGGUUAGCAACACAAUGUCAAAAUCAAAUUUAAAGUAGUAGGUACCAAAAGGUUAACAACAUCUCAGGUGACAAACUAACCUUCAUAGUCUAGUUGACAUAAACAGAUUUUAGGGGGCAAAAUAAAAGUUAAGCAGGAAAUGCAAUCAAUAAAAGCUUUUCACUAGCAAGAUUUACCGGCUUUGCAAGAUUUGCACGUUGAUAUUUACAACAGAAAUGACUUUAAGGUGAGCCAAACUUCCCUCAGAAGGGUUAAGGAGGAAUAAACCAAAGGUUCAUGGGAGAGGUAAACUCACUUUAUGACAUAAUUCCUAAAAAUAUGACCAUGAGGUAACUAAACCAGGUUUAAGGAGGACUUAAUUAGUUCCUAAUGGUUCAUUAAAAGUCCAAACUGCAUUAACCAGUUCUCUACUUCUGUCAGGGCUUCAAAAACAACCAGUGUUUCUCCAACAAGGUUGACAUCAAAAUGGGGUAGGCAGCAUCUGAGGAAGUGCCAGUUUGUGGGAGAGAUCUUGAAAGCAAACACUACCCCUCCCAACCAGUUUUUCCCUCAGCUCCUCCUCUCCCCUCCCUCGCUGCUCCAGCAAGCCCCACCUACAAACAGACGCUUCUGCUCGCUCUUAUUGUUUCAAUUAAAUUCAGAUAUAAUGCAGAUAAAUACUUCAAAUAGAAAAAAAGACAAAAACAUUGGUGCUACUGUAGAUGCCAACAGAUGACCAGCAAACACAUUGUACUUGCUAACUUGCUUACUUUGUUAGAGCAGUUUACCUGUCCAGCAGAAAGGUUACAGGGUCUGUAAGAUCCCAAAGCGUCCCCCAUCGUUUUAUGUUGACCCGGCUUUUUAGCUCUUGUCUGGUCUACCUCACUUUUAAGCCAGAGUCUCCAGUAUUUGCUUUGUUUUCUUGCUUGUGUUGGCAGUUGUGGCCAAAGGAGGAUUCAGAAAAUUUUCCAUACAUUCUGGUUGAUUUCUACUGUCCGAUAUUGUAGCAGGCUAACUUUGUUUGGGUUCGUGAAUGUUAUUUGAGGAAGUGGAGCAUGCCUCACAACCAAUCAGGUUGGGGGAGGCGGAGAAUGGCUUUGUUUACAGUCAGAAAGAGCGGGCCGCUCAAAGAUAUUAAAAUGUUGACUACACAGACAUAACAGAACACAGCGACAUCGUGAUAUUCCCAAAUGUCAACAAUAACUAAUAGCUAUUGACUGACAUUAAAAGCUUUUUUGUAUAUACACCACAAAAAAAGAUGCUUCUUUAACGGAUUCCUGCCGACCCCACCUUUAAGUGGUCUUUAAAACAGAAUUAAAGUGAACUAGUCUAGUCUGUGUUGUGGUUUGUCCAUAACAGAGUCAUCAUCACUAAACCAGACAUAACACGGACUAAAUCAGUGGUUAGUUCCUUAAAGGUUUGUGUUAGGUAAAUCAAAAGUUAGUCACAGUCCGCCAGACAGUGUGGUUAUUGGACUGAAUUUGGAUUUACCAAAAAGUUUAAAGUUUAUGAAAUAAAAAGUUGUUCAUACUAGACUUUCUGUACAUUUAAUCUUAUUUUUUUAAAACAUGGAAGAUGAAAAAAAAAAAAAAAACAUCUAAGUGCCAAGAAAAGCUUUGCACUAAUACUUUUACUGCCACUCUGGAGAUAAAAUUAGCAUAGGCAAUUAGCAGGAAGAAACUCUGGCAGUUUCUCUGAGUUUAUGAACAUGGGUGGCAUGUGUGUAAUGUGUGCGCUCAGUACAGAAAGCAUGGUUUGUUAAUCAAGAGCUGACAGGUGCAACAUUCACACUCUUCCCAUGAAACACACACCUUCACAGUGUGAGAUAAACAAAGUGGAAAAAAUCAGUGUGCGACUUUGUGUGUGCGUGACAAAACGUACAAAUUUCACUCACUAGGUGGAAGUGUAUCAUGAUUUCACACCUUUUCCUGCCACACUAUAGAGGCAUUCGGAACAGACUUACACAUCCGUGUUCGUGCAGUCCGCCUGGGGCGAGAGCUGCUCGGCUCAGAUGAGGUCAGAAUCUGUUCCCACUCUCUGAAACUGAAAUGUAAAAACGCCUCAGAAUGUGUUUUUGUCUGACAACAUAAAUACAGAAAUGCUGAAGAAAAUAGAAAAAACAUUGCAGAGCGCACAGCUCCUGUAGAACGUUAUAUCAUACCCUGCACUCUUGGACUCUUAAAGGGUGAGGCAUGACUUUAGUAUUAGUUACUAAAAACUUUUAAAAAUGUAAUAAAUCAGGCUGAAAAAAAGAUGAUUUUGUAACACUAAGGUUCAAAUGGACUGAAUAUCAAGGGAACAAAAUCAGGCUUUCUGCAAACACCUUAUCAGACCCAUAUAGUGGCAAAAAAAUGUCCUCUAAAUAGAUGAGUUUCUGGUCUUUUAAUGACUUGCUAGGCCAAUCAAAAGUUGAUCAUGUUGAUGUAUAGGAAGACUGAGACAGUGGUUGGCAGUACAGGAUUUUGGUAAAAUAGGUCACUCGUUUCUCAUGUCAGUUAUAUUGAACAAAGUAAGUGGUGCUCUAAACUAGUUAAUGGUGCAUCAAUCCCAGUUUUAGGACAAAAGUUCCCAAACCUGGUCUAAAAGCAACAAUUUCCAAACAUUUCCUGGUGAUUAGAAUCAGAAAACAUGGUACCAAAGCACCUGUUCCCAAAACAUUGGACAGUUGUCACAAAAUGACAAAUAAGUUAUAGUAUCAAUGUAGUUGGUCCUAAAUCAUAGAAACCAAGAAUUUUUCCUUGUUUUUUUAAAUGGUGUCCAAGCAGUUGUUCCCAAAAAAAUUUACCAAAGCAGCUGUUCUCAAAACAUUGUAAUUAAGCAGCUGUCAGAAAUAAGUGAUACCUAAGCAGCUGUAAUGUUAUUUAGCAUUUUUUCUCAAGAACUGUACCCAAACAGUUGGUCCUAAAAAGCACUUUAUGAAGAGAACUGUUCCCUAACUGCUGUUCCCAAGGUACUGUAUAGAAAAAGUUGCUCUUAAGACAUGGUACCAUGGAUGUUGUUCCCAAAACACAAUGAAUUUUUUUUCCAAAAGCUUAUAUUUACUUAAUGAGAAACCAAAAACAGUUGUUACCAAAAAAUUAUACCUUAACAGAAGCUCAUAAAGCAGUGUACCCUCGUCAUUGUUGCCCCAAAAUAGUUCCCUAGCAGUUCUUCUGAAAAUGUGCACUCAUGUAGGUGCACUUUCAAAGUCAAAGUGUGCUUUAUGAGAAGUUCCAACCUCUGAAAGCUGCAGUGAUUUGCGCAAUUAAGAAACAGUUAACAAAAAAGGAAGUAUAUAUAUAUAUAUAUACAUAUAUACAUAUAUAUAUUUCUGCUCAUGAUUAAUUUGGACUUUCUGAAUACCGACACUCUGGAGUGUUUGACCUGCUCAGUAGCUGAUGAAUGUACAUUCUUUUGACAUGAAAAAACUGUGAGUGGUUGAAAUAUUCAGAGCUCACAAACACUUAAAGCCUAUGAUUAUGGCGAGGAGAUGGACAUUGCUAUGAAAACUGAAAAGGUUAGGAGCCACUCCACCACAUCGCUGCUAUAAUGAAUGAUAAAAUCAGUUACGAUAAUAUAAAUGAAAUUUCAAAUCUGUCUCAUCUGAAAACAUGUUCGUUUUUUUUGGAUUCUCUGUCCCAAAGGUAUUGUUCAAACAUUUGUGUGAAAAUAACGCAGUAAAAUUAAAAAAAAAUAGACUGGUAAAAUUCUCUUCAGUCCUCUAUUGUAAAAAUCAAUCUUAUUAAAUCACACCCUGCAGAGUCAGAGAGGGAGAGAUUACUCGGUCUGUCUUCAUUUGUCUUGAGCCUCUUAAUCUGUGAAAUAGCCAAAAUGACCCGUGCUAGACACACAUGCACGGACGCACACAAACCCUGUGCGGGGGCCACUUUUGAUGUGCUGUUAGUCCGAGUGCGUAGCAAUCAGGAGCAGCAUGUAGCCCGAGGCUAGCAAGACACCACAAGACGUGGUGCAGAGGGAAGGCAGUGAGAUGCAGCGGUAAGUGAAUAUGUGUCGAUGGGUGAUUUUUUAGGAAAGCUUCUGAGUGUUUACAGAAGGCAGAGCGGAUAUAAAAGCAGGACGUGGGAGUUUGUCCCUCAGUGGAUUUCUGGAAUGUGCUGUAAUAUUUUCAUUUUAUCUGCUUCAGAGGGAAGACGAGCUUUCAACCCUCAGUGCUGCUGAUGGAGUGUUUGGUCUCUCUCUAAACUGUGUGCAAGAAUGUUCUCUGCUUAGCUUUGACUUUCUUUAUGCACGCUCUCUGAAGUCUCAUGAGCCUGCAUGUUUAUGUUUUUACAAGUGCGGAUGCAUGCAUUUGCCAUGUCUGAUAUGUCUCUAUCUGUAUGUACCAUGGUGUAAGAAAAUGUGGGUUCUUGCACCAUCUCGCCUAUCUGUGCAGGGCAGGUCUGGCUGUGUCACAGUUGAUACUAAUUACAGAUCAGGCAGAUUAAAACCUGAAGAGGAACGGGCCAAUCAAGAUCUCCCCUGGAACUCUGAUUCCUCACCUUCCUUUUCUCUAUCUUCUUUAUUUUGCUGUUCAUCGCCUUGUCAUUACACCUCGCCCAAGUCAAACCUCUCUCUGCAUCCCAUUGACUUUUAAGUAAUUCAACCAAUGGGGGCUUCUCUGAGAAUAAAACUACAUCUUAUCAACCUUUAACAAGGUUGGAGGAAAUCCAGUAUCCUUGUGAAUGAUGUAUGAAACUAAAACUUGUAGGACCUUCAACAAGAAAUACAUUUUUUGGCUAACUUAGCAAACUUAAAACCCUCUUUUGUUUGAUUUUAGUUGUUGCUCCUCCUCUUAUUUAAAACCCUCAUUCCUCAUUCUGUCCCUUGGCUUUUCAGACACAGAUUCACACACCUGUUUUCUCUUGCUUCCCUUCCCACUCCAUCUCUCCACCUGAACCAGGAUCUUCUUCACAUUUACAACCAAAACUGCAAAGUUACAAAGUUUGGUGUCCAUACAAUAUGUAUGGAAAGUUUGAAAUAACAAGGUAAAUGUAUGUUGUCAAAAUCUGGGAAAGUAGAAGUAAACUGCUUAUAUCUUAAAGGAAAUGCCAGGAAGCGAUAUUUUUUUUGGAAGGAUGGCAGGGUAAUGUCCCGCCUCCUUCGCCUCUGAUUGGCUGGAAAAGCUGGAAACGUCAUCACACGCUCAAGCAAAACAUGUGCUGUCGGCUCUGUACAUCGAACUGAACAUUACAGAACGUUAUCGCACUUCUGAAUCUCCUAACUCUAACCCCAAUCCUAACCCUAAUCCUAACCCUUACCCUAACCCAAACCGAACAGAUGAUGACGUUUCACAGCCAUAAGGAAUAACCAAUCAGAGCCCAGCACUUCUAGCCAAUCUGAGGCAAAGGAGGGUGGGGCCUUCCCCUACUAUCCUACAAAACAAAAACAAACAAACAAACAAACAAACAAAAAUUGCUUCUGGGAAACCUCUGGAGAGGCUGGCCAAUCAGAAGAAAGUAGGCUUGUGGAGGGGGGGCCUUAAAGAGACAGCAGUGUUUCAGGACGCUGAAAUACUUCUAUUUUAAUACACCUCUGUUAGAAAUUUGAGGCCUUUUUUAAAAUCUGAAAAUCACACAAAGCUAUCAUAAACGUAUCAAAAAGGAAAUAUAAAGUCUGAAAAAAAAGCAUAAUACCCCUCCUUUAAUGACAACUGAAAUCCAACAAAUGACGGAUGAGAUGAGAUAUGCACCUUUGAAAUCAAAGAUGGUCACUUUGGGUCAUAAAGCAGCUCUGGAGGUAAGCAUAGCUAACGGCAGCUUCCGAUUCUUAUAUUUCCUCUUUGGAUUGGUUUGUAAAUGUCCCUGCUUUUUGUGCUCUUUAAAAACGUCCCAUUAGUUUCCAGUUUAGAGGAGCCAUGGAGAAGCAGAGAUUACUUCAAAGAGAGCCUCUAAAUAUUAUAGAAAACACUUGAAUGGUGAGAAACGUUUGUGUGUUGAUUCCCGUCCUCUCGCAGUUUGCAAAGCAAUGACUCAGAAAUAUAUAAAUCCACCAGUAAAGGUUAAUGGUAACACCAAUGAAUCAACACUAAUCCACAAUAACAAAGAGGCUGAGCCGAAAAACAAUGACGAGCAGGGACGGGGGAGAGAAGCCUGUGGCAGCUGCUUGGCAGUGUCAAGACUGGGGAUAUGAGUGGAGCAAAUGAGGAUGAACCAGUCAGCGCUCCAGACAGGCAGCUGAAUAGACAAAAAGACGGGAGAGACAGGGUGGGAGGGCGAGAGGGAGGAGAGGAUAGGGGAAAGUGUUAUUGUGAGCGUGGCAGAAUCUGGGUACAGGGUGUCACUUUGGAACAAUCAGGACUGACGUUUCAGGUGGUGUGCAGCGGGAGGAAAGGGAACUCGCCUUCCAGGGGCAGCAGCAUUUUCCAUCCUCAUCAUACUUGGAAAUAAAUACCAUGCCAAAAAAAACAGCCAAGGACCCUUCAUAACAUGGCAUCAACACCAAAACAAGUCAAAAUGACAAGAUUUCAAGGAAUUGGAUCUGUUUUCCGAGGAUUCCAGAGGAAGAAUCCCUUGCACUCGAGGUGUUUUUGUUUUUUUUGACAGGAUUACAGACAUUAUGUAGAUGGUUGGCAGAUCAGUGGCAUUGUCCAAAAUUGGAUGGCUGAACAGUACGUUAUGAAGGCUUUUUAAGGCUGAAUCACAGCACCAAGCUUGGUCAUGUCUAUUUUUCUGGGUGGGGGUUAUGGUAUCCAACAGAACCCACGUUCCUUCUGUCUCCUGUUGGCCAGGAAAUUAGCAGAGAUAUAACUACGCCUUCCUCUUACAUUAAGAUCCGGUUUUAUGUCCACACAGCAGAGGAGACUCAUCUAAAUCUGCCCAAAACUUUUGAAACACUUAGUACGCUCAUGGUGGCUCUUACCAGACUUUGUUUUUUUUAACUGCAUUAACCAACUUCUUUAUGGAGGACAGUGAAAAACCCUGAUUUGUGUUCAGUCAAGAUGCAAAAGAGAGUUCAAUAAAUAAUUUGUAAAGGUCAUAUCCCAACAAUGCCCGUGCAUAGCCUGGUAGGUCGAGGUAUUGACUGUUGAACCUUAUUAGUCCCUCAGGGAAAAAUCCUUUACAAUGUGGGCACAAAUGAGGCAUUAAAAUUAUGUGAACUCACAAUCCAGUUUGAAGCUUUGUGAGGCUAGUCUAUGGCACUGCAGUCCUCUGGACUACUUAAUAAUACCACUGUUCAUGGUGAGAGUGCUGGUCUUCAGCAGGUCUUUAACCUUCAGUUUUUUGGAGUUGAACUUAAGGAUAAUAAUAAAAAAAAUCUUUUUUCUUCAAGAAACUUCCUUUCUAAAGAAGCGCAAACAUUCUGAUGAUAAAAGUCAAGGGGUUGCAGAAAAGUCAAGGGGUAGCCGAAUCAACAAGUCGGAUAUUUUUGGGAGUUUUUUUUUUUUUUUUUUUUACUGUCGAACCAGGAAUAUUUUUCAGAAACUGUUGAGAUUUUGAAAAACAUUUUUUAAAAUUUCUGUAGCUUUUAAAAUUUUUUAACAUAUCUUUUUUUUGAUUAUUUAUUCAUUAUUUUCUAGUAUAUAUGUUUUUGGAAAUCUACUCGCAAUAGGAUGGGUACCAAUGCCUAUAAUUACCUAAAAACACAUUAAUCUUUAAGUGAGAGCUUGUGACAUUCAAAUUUUUGGAAAAGCUUAAGUCAAAUUUGAUGAAUUCUGGAAAACAAGCUUAACAAAUAUCCACGAGUUUCAGAGUCGACUACUUUAAAUUUGGUUUUGAUAUUGGAGGGCAAGAAAACUGACCAAAUGACAGAAACUCUCAUGUGCUGAUGCAUUUUAUGACCACACUUCCCAUCAUUAUGUCGGCCUUUUUCCAUCAUGAAAUGAAAGAAGAAAAGAAGAAAAUUCUGGAUCCUGAUAGUGUAUAUCUGUGACUCCCUGUCUUGCCGGUGGAGCAGCUUCAGAGGAAAACAAAUCACAACUUCAGUCUGUCUCUUUGUUGUUAUGCUUUAAAAAAGACAAGUUGGAAUUCAUAAAUGAAAACCAUGCUGGCCACAUUACAGACACGAUAUAUGAGUCCCCUUUUUGUCGGGGUGGACGUACCUCUUACAUGUUAAUAGACCCAAAUUAUCUGAAAAUUGUUGCUGCUCAUAAGCGAGGUAUUACAAGCAGAUCAGAGACACAAAUCAAAGGAAAGAAAGGAAACCUGGCUUGGCGCUAAUGAUGUGUGGAUUGUUAAACAGCCGAGUGAGACACCGGGAGGUUCCUCUAUGGUGUGAGUCAAGAAAAAACAACACUUAUAGAGAAAGAGAUGAUAACAUUGUGAAAAAGGGAAUAUGAGAUUCAGCAGCUUUGGAAAGAAAGACUGAGAAGCUGACUGAGAGAAAAGCAGAAAAGAGAGAACAUUUUCAUGCAUUCUCACCUUCGUUUUCUCUUCUCAACUUGCUAUAUCUAUCUCUUUUCUUCUCUCUUGCCCUCUCUGGUAUUGUUCUCUCCAUCAGGAGUAGCCAUGACAUUGCUGUUUACUUCUAAUGUUUGACAUUUGCCCGGUGCCACUCCAGGAUGAAAACCCUGCGAUAUUUCAAAGGAACAUCUUGUUAUCAGCCCACAUUACCCCCAUUCUUACAGACUCGACAGGCAGAUAAACACUUUGACAUAAAGGCACAAGCAUGCACACUCAAAGCAUUGAACAUACAGGUGCACAAAUGCUUUCAAGAACACAAAGAUCUAUCUGGAUCUUUAACCUUUCACUCCAGAGCAGGGAAACGCAGGCUAUCUACUUCCACAUCAUGUUUCACCCUGCUGCCCCAUCCUCUCCUCCUCCCUCUGGUUCUUUCAAUCUCCUCUGGGGAUCAAAUUAAGGAGGUGGAUUAAUAAAGAAAUGGGGGUUCUGGUCUGAAUAUGUGGUUUUCUUGGCUAUGGGCUAUUCAUUGUGGCACUCUGACAGCCAGAAGAAGAAAAUGGAGGGAUUGGACCUAUUCUCUUUUUCACCCAAUUAUUCCAUCUUCUGGUGCUCAGAUAAUCAUUUCACUCUCAUCUAUCUCCUUUGUCUCCUUUUUCCCAUCAACAUAACCAUUAUCCCAUUUAUUCCUCCCCUCGUUUCAGCUUUUCUAAUUUUUUAUUUUUUGACCUGCCCCGAUUUUCAACGCCCUGACUGAAAGAUACCCUUAUAAAAAAGAAAGAAAAGAGUCUCACAGUCAGGUCUAUGGGCUGCACAGUUUCAGAAAACUGCUAUACCUACUGUAACGAAUGAUAUAUAAGUUUCUUUUUUUUUUCCCUGUGGUUUUUCAAAUGCUGCCAUUCCUGCCACAUUUCCAAACAUGGCAUGGCAUAGAAGUCUUCCUGAUUGAGGAUGAGAUGGAAAAAAUAAAAAAGGCAUUUGGCUCAAAAGUGACUAAACCUCCUGUCCUUGUCUUUUGGCAUCCCAUGAGCAGCUCCUUCUUGUAUGGGUUAGAGGAAAAACUGAGCGUUUGCUCACCAGUGGUUGAACAGCACAGAUACUGUAAACAAAACUUUAUCAGACAAAGAAAGGAUGUAAUACAGAUGAAAUGUUCUGUAAAACCGCACAGAGCCUUUUGCUAACAGCUUGUUUUGAUACAUAACAUGUCAACCAGGAGACGACCCAACAGUAACAAAGCGAAAAAGGAUUUUGCCACAUUACAUAGUGAAAGCGAACAUACUUCCUCAAUAAUUCAAUUCUUCCUCAGGGCAUGUAAACUGUGACAAGCCUUAGCUAUAUGCUAAAUUUCAUGUUAACGCUAAAAGCUAAGCUAAGAUACUGGCUUAACCAAACUUACACUGCUAAGUUGUAGGCUACAUGCUAGGCUAAGCACCAGGAUAAACUAAACUAAACACUAAACAGGCAAGACAAGAAAAUACAUGUUCUAACACCAUAUUCUGCUAAACAACCAAGGACCAGCCACCUUACAAUCACACAAAACAAAACUCACAGCUGAUGCUUUCACAAGUGACACAAGUCAGUUUGCAGUUGGGCUUCCUCAGGAAAUGGCACAUGUGUAAACUGCUAAAGACAAAGGGAGAACCUCCAACUUCCUUUUAUAGAGUUUAAACUUCCUGGUUUUCCUUCAGUGUACUUCCUGUGUUACAGUUUUGCUGGCCAACAGGUGGAGCCAUAGCUAUCCAGGACAGAACAUACAAGUCCAGUUGAGUCGCCUCUCUUCCUGUGGCCAGACUCAAUUAUAGAUGUAAAUGUACAGCAUGUAAAUGUUGGGCAUGAAGUGAUGACUGUGUCAGCUGGAAAAAAACAAUGACACUUAUUCUGACACGCUGUGCACCAGGUGCCGAUAGAUCCCUUAGACCCUAUGAUAGGUUGCAAGCAAGUUUUACUUUCGUAUCUCAAUCUGAUCUUAUCAAACGGUGGUCCGUCGCCUUAAUAUAUGUCUGUCUUGAAAUCCAUCAAAUGAAAACAUUUGCUCUGGAGAGACAGAUAAGCAGCAGCACAGCAGAGAGCAGGUCGAUAGGCCACCACCAAAAAAGCAGGCUUUACUCAAAAUGGAUUAGAUGGCCUUACUCCUAAACUGUAUAUUGCAAUUGACAGCUGGGGACGGAUCAAAGCCAGCACCGUGUGAGAUCCUGGCAAGGUUUGGUCAAUUCCCAUCAAGUCAACUGGACGUGGAAUUUGUCCAUAUGUGCCUGAUCCAAUUCACGGCACUGACGCGGACGUGAAGUGAAAUUGAACAGUGGACUGAAAGCGCGGGGGUAGUGUUAUUGGUCUUUUCCUUCGCUGAGGGAGACAGAAGGAGAAGGCCACUCUCUCUGAGGUGUUGUGCACACCUUGUAGGCUGCCAAGCCCCAUUAGAGGGUGACAAACAGACGUCCGCUCGGCUCGGCGCUGUCAGACCCUGGUAAUGAAAGACACAUCAGCCUUAGAAAAAAAAAAAGCAGAGGAGGAGGAGAAGGAGGAGGAGGGAGAACAACAACAGGCGAUGCACUGACACAAACACAUUUUAAGACUAAUGGCUUAAAUGCAGCUGCACUGUGGAGCAAUGCAGGGCAGGAAAACAUGUUCUCCAAAGCCUGGAAGGACGACAAGGGAUAAGAAAGACUCAGUAAAACUAGAUAAAAGAGAAUCAUGCAAACAUUCAAGAUAAAAGAGAAACCUCUGAACAGAAGGUGCUGCAAGAUUUAAUGAAAGAAAAACCGUGCAAAAGCGUGAAGGAGCGAAAAAGAGAGAGGGUCCUUUGUGACUCAUCCAGCUACACCAUGCAACGCGGAGAUAUGUCAGCAUUUCUCGUAUCCUUGUAUCAAAUGAUUUCCGGUAAAAACUAACAUGAUAAAACUGUUUCCUCCAUAAUGAAGCCGUUUUAAAUAGUUUUUGCUCCUUUGGCACCGAAUCCGAGCUGAACUUCGCGAGGAAUCCAUAAGCACUCAAGAAUGAAUUACACACAAGGUGGCAGACAAGGUACAGCUGCCGACGUUAUGGAUUGAGCAGUUUGGGAGUCUUGUCAUCAUAACCUAUGGACGCUUCAUGCUGGAAGAACAGUCUCUCAGAUGCAGAGGAGGAUAGCGAGGCAGAUUGUGUCACUCUGCAUCCCCGCCUGCUUUGUAAUCUUUCCAGAGAGGAAGGAUGGGGCUCGGCUCUCUCAGGAGGGAAAUGUGUUUUCACUGCAUGGAUGUGAAGCCGGAGCAAGUGGCCUUAUCCAAUCUAUAUCUCUCUCUCAGCACCGGCUUGAAAGACAGGAAAGACACAGAAAAAGGAGUGUGUGACAGGCGGUUGGUGGUUAUCGGAGUGAUAAUUUAAGGCUGAACUUUGCACCACGCUGCCUCUCAAGUCAACCAAAAAGAAAGGUGUUUGCUGAAAAAAUGAUAUUUCAGCUUUUAGAAGUUGGAGAAAGUUGAGGAAGAACUUGACUUUAUUGCACAAAACCAUAAUUAAAGCAACAACUCCACCUUAGGUGUCUGUGUUAUUCUUACUCCACUUUGUUCUGGACUAUCAGUGUGUCGCUUCUUCUUUCAUCACCCAGUGCUAUAGUUGUGGGCGACAGCAGGCCUAAAUCAUGAGGUUUACACUCACUUUACAAACCGUAAUUUUCAGACUACAAGGUGCACAUAAAAUCCUUGAAUUUUCCCAAACACGCCUUAUGAAUGGUUACUUGUUGUGCUUACUGACCGAUUAUAUGUGGUACAGUGUGCUCAAAAAUCUGUCGAAAUGUGUAAUUACGACUUUAGUAAGCAACAAAGCCACUUCUCUCGGUCGUCCUCAGACGAGCUUCCAUCGGAGUUGCCAAUCCUCCCGAUUCUCCAAGAGCUUUCAGGUCCCGCAUCCUACUUCAGGACAUCCACAUACAUUAGCGCUGAACGUCCUCGCGAGCAGCCUGCUGGCCGGUAGCUCCUCAUGUCAAUGGCAGGGGCAGGCCAGCCUGAUCCUUCUUGAUGCUACCUUCUUGCUGAGCCUUGGCAGUUGCCCGUACAGGUCCUUGUUGGUAAUGUGGAUAUUCUGUUCCACAUUCAGAACAGCUCGUAGCAUUCUGGUGACCCAUCCAGGACUUCUGCAGGGUGGGUGUCAGGGUCCAGCUUUUCCAGCCAUACAGGAAGAUGGACUCCACAGUGGCGUGGAAUCAGUUCAGCUUUAUUUGACUGGAGAGAUUCAAGCACCACACUCUUUGCUCAAUGGAUAUUCAGAGCAUUACGGUACGCUGUGUCACUACCUGAUCGGCUCUGUAACAGGACCCCUGAGCAGUCUACAAGACUGCCUGACUCUAAUGUCUAAACUAGAAGUGCUUUCAUGUAAGGCAGCCAGGGCCUGGAGUAUAC